AUAAUUCCUCGUUAGGUGAGGCUUCUGCAUAGAACAUAUGCCACUGCCCGGAUAGGUCGAAAGACCGUAACGGGUUAACAGGUAUUACCGGAUUAAGGUUUUAUCUAAUGUGGCUGAGAUUUAUGUCUCUAGCUGUGCAUGUGCCAAAACUCGUACGAGUGGGGAAUGGG
rnacentral:sRNA from 2 species